rnacentral:rRNA from 1 species
AUGCUCACGGCCUGCGUCGAGAUCGCCGUCAAGAAGGGCGUUCGCUUCGCCCCGCCCAACCUGGCUUUCGCAGUCAUGCCCGACGAGCAGCUCCACGACGCGCUGCUCGCGCAGCAGUUCCCGGCCCGCCCCAGGAUCGCGAGCCUCGCCGUGAAGCACAUCGACGUCGCCGUCACCGUCCUCUCCCGCUUCAUGGAGCCCAAGAGGCUCGCCAGCCUCGCCGAGUUCUGCGACGACCACGCCUACAUCUCCGAGGGGGGCUUCUAUCUAGCAUCCGAUUGA